CGAUUUCCGACCCGCGUAUGUGUCUUCACGCCUGUAAGGGGAGGGCUCGCCUUGUCCAAGUGACUGCAAGGCGCUCUGUUAGGAAAGGAAGUGAGCGGCCUGCACGUGCUGGUGAUCGUCCUGGCGGCCGUGCUGGUGACGGCCCUGCUGUCUUGCGUGUUGGGCCACUCUAAGAUGGGCGCCAGGCUCUGGUCCCAUCGACGGUCCGCCCGCGCCGCCCACACAACCCCCGCCUCUCGCCACACCCACACCACCAUCAUCACGCCCACCACCUUCACACAUUCGGUAAGGCAGGAUGCAAGGCGAGUCGGGCGGGGCAGUACCGGUAAGUGCCUGACACCUGUCUUUCCUCACUGUCUCAGAUACUGAUCAGCCCUAUAGCGGAAGACAUCAGCAACUCCCUCUUUACCAUCCUUGACUACCUCGUGUUGGGUUCAAGGGCCUGAGUAAGCUGGAAUCUGGAUACUUUUUUCGAAGAACGUUGCGGGACGGGAGUACUAAACGAAAGAGUAGCCGUGCUUACUUUCGAGGUGAGGGUGGGACUGACAGAUGGGGAGUGCAGGGAAAGUAGGUAGGAAGAGCAAUAGAAGCGUUUGGGUGGGUAAGUAGGUGGAUGGGUGGGGUAGGACGGGCUGUAUGUCGUGCGUCUGGGUGGGUGAAGUGUGUUGGUAGGGUAGGGAGUGGUGUUGGCGGCUAAAGGUGUGUCUGGGUGCUACAUGUGUUGUCGGAGUAGGCAAGGUGCUGUAAAUACCUCGUCUGACCCAGAUGAUGAAGGGAUCACCCAGACGACAUUCAAACUUGUCUGGCUCUUUUCACAAUUCGUGAAGGAAAUAACAUGUAUAGCAAUGUAAUAAGGAAAGCCUCACUAUAAAAUACAGUCAAACUAAGACCCAUGAAGGGAGGGGGACGGGGAAUUAACGUGGAGUCUUUUCAAAACCAAAUAAGUGUGGUUUGAUUAAAUAAUUCAUAUUAAUUCAUAUAACUUUUACUUCAUUGUGACCUACCAUACUACUUGUACCUACAUAUAUGAUUCUACAAAUUGCAUAGAUAUAUUUUAGGUAUUUUUUUGGAAUUUGCUUCUGUAUCUCAUGCGAGCAGAACAUCAACAACAGCAUAAUUGCACAAACAGACUGACAAAAAAAAAAAAAAUAUACUGGAAAUGAACCAUUACUGAUUUUAAAACACAGUCGUGGUGAUGACGUAAGCAGGACUAUUUUCAACAAUUGGCUUAACCGCCAUGACACCUUACAGGCAGACGUCCACCUCACCCCUGCUAGAGAGAGAGAGAGAGAGAGAGAGAGAGAGAGAGAGAAACGUAAACAAAGAUAAUGAAAAUGAAAUGAUAAAGGGCACCAGUUGGUAAGUGAUAGCAAUGGAAAAAAUAAUCGAGUGACAAACAAACACACACACACACACACACACACACACACACACACACACACACACACAAAAAAAAAAAAAAAAAAAAAUCAAGUGGGAAGAGUCAAGAUGAAACAAAAGUGGUGGAAAACAGCUGAUCUGGAGAGUAGAGGUUUGCUGUAGCUACUGGUGUAAGGAAACAGUGAAAGAAACCAUUUCAACAAAACACUAAUGUUGCAUGACUGGGACGGAAUGAGAACAGAGCGGGGGACGUGGAGCCCGAAAUAAGUAAAUACACACCCUUGAGCUUCCGUCGAAAAAGCAGGAAAAAAAGAAAAAGCAAGCAGAGGCAGCUGGGUGUUGUGAAGAGGAGGGAGGUUGCCAAAUGUUCCUGCAGUCUACCUGAAGGAGUUUUGAUAGGGGUAGUGAAGGGGAAGGCGAAACAGAGACCGCCGCAGCUCCCCUAGUUAAGAGCUUUAUGGUGUGUGAGCCGCGGGAGACAGUGGCAUAGAUCACGGCAGGUUAGAAGUAUCGAUUAUAUUUAAAGCUGCCGCGGCGUUCACCUCCUGAUAACACAGUCUUCCCACCGGCUUGUUUUCCGGGGCCACCGCAGCAGCGCUGUUGCCGCCGCUGCUGAGAUUGUAGCUCCCCCGCGUCCAGAAUGACCUGCUAAUUGUUACCACCGACAUGUUAAUGAGCUUAAUCUAUCCGAGUAGAAGUAAUUAGUUUGCAGGCGGCUGAGUUUAUUAGGUUCACGACACCCGCUUUUUGGAGCCGGUGGUGGCAGCGGGAGUGGCGGUGCCGGAGCAGCGACGUGUGGCAACUCUAGUGAUGAUGCAACACCAGACCAUGACGUCACUUGUGGCUCAGACAACCCCAAGGACCUUGCCGGGUGAGAGAGAGAGAGAGAGAGAGUGUGUUUUCGUUACUUCUGUUCACAUUUCUACUACGACCCACACCUCCAGCCCCCCACCCUGCCUUAGUACUUUUCUUUCUUUUAGCCUUCGUUCUCUUCCAUCUGAACCCCUGCCGCUUGACUUUUACCUCUAUUGCCCACUCACCUCUCCUCUUUUCCUCCUCCUUCUUUUGAUCUUUUCCUCUUCCUCCUUGUCCUCUUCCUUGCCAGGCUCCUCCUCCUCCUCCUCCUCCUCCUCCUCCUCCUCCUCCUCCUCCUCUCUAGGGUUUCAUUACACUCUCCUCCUCUUACUUAAGCAAAGAAACGUGCAGGAGUGCGAACGUUCAUGAAAUUAUUAAAAUGACGCCGAGUCGCUGUGGCCAUCUCUCCAGGGCUUGGUGUGGAUCGGAACUAAUUACCGCGCUGCAAAACUUUUCACCUGCGUGUGGCGAGAAUUCGAUGUUGCAGGGCAGGGGAGUGUGUGUGUGUGUGUGUGUGUGUGUGUGUGUGUGUGUGUGUGUGUGUGUGUGUGUGUGUGUGUGUGUGUGUUUUCUUUUAGUGGGUGAGAUGUAUCCACGUAUUGUGCUUCAUAUACCGAAGAUAAGGGGAGAUUAAGUAGAAAUGCAUUUUCAGUGUGCGCGUGUGUGCGUGUGCGCGCGCGCGUGAAGGGCGUGUGCUGAGAUUGGGGAGGUAAGGUGGAGGGUAAGGUGGUACGUGGGGAAGAGGGCGAGCCAGACUAGACUCAACAGUUUACUUCAGCUGCUCCGCGACUGCUCCAGCACCUGCUUCGAAUCCGGUUCUUGUGACCUUGGUUCGAGCCACCGUCAUGACGACCAGAUUUGGCGAGGCGACUUCCCGUUGUCGCUCCACGGCGUUGCCUUGAGGUCAUGCGUGCUGGGAACACAAUUUUGUACGUGAUGCAUACGAAUAUUUCCAGGGUGAAUUUGGCCUUCGAUGAAGUGUGGGUGGAAGUUUAGUAAAUUCCUGUUGAUUUUUCGGGUUGGAAAUCGUACCAGCUUUGUCACAGCUGUAGCAGAGGAUUUUUUCUUCUCUCUUUUUCUCACUGUCGUCUUUCGCUCAAAUAAAUAUUUUCCCGUUAUGCCUCGGACACGGAAGCGAACAACCUUUAGAUAGGGAACGAGUGACUCACUGAAAGAUAAGGCUUCCGUGCCGAGCUGUCACAAGACGUUUCUAAAUAUCACAAUGAUGUUCUCCUGUUUUAAAUUUUUCUGAAUGUUAUCCGCUCGUACUGUGAAAUUUAUUCUCCAACGUAAUCGUUUAUUUUUAAGGUUUCACGAAAAGAAUAGAGGUUUAAUUUUUGGCUUAGGUAAUCAGAUUUGUAAUGACCUAAUGGCUUUCUUCUUCCUGUGGACGUCGCCUUGACACAACGCACGAGUGUUGCUGGGCUGUGGUGGGCGGCCUUCGUGAGGACGCUUACAAGCACGUCUCGCCAUGUAUAGAAAGUAUUAUACAUUAGUAAAAGACCAGUGUAAUGUACGAAUAAACGAUGAACUUUUAACGACCAUUAAAACUCGUACCCAAUCACUCACUCACAUUCAACAUAUACAAACUUACUGCAAUAUGUAAAAUCCUGGAGUUGAUAUUAUAGAUUAUGAAAGUGUUCAGCCAUGAUCAGUAGAAUGAUGAAUUUCUCUUAAGUCAUAAAUGUUUUGAUUGCAACCUUGGGAAGCGCGUGAGUGACACUGAAGGAUAAGAGGGUCAGAGGUCAUCCCGCCUGGAUGCCUCGCCCUCGUGAGUCAAGUAUGAAGACGCGGGGAGGUGCGGAGGCCGUUAGAGUGGUUAGCUGGGAGGUAGACGAAAAAGAAAAAAAAAUGAACAAGACAUGUGAAGGUGACAGACCGUUUAUGAAAUGCCACCACCAUCACUACAGAGAAUAACAACAGUAACUAACUACCACUUAUAAUAACAGCAACUACUACUACUACUACUACUACGACUACGACUACUGCUGCUGCUUCUGCUUCUGCUUCUGCUUCUGCUGCUGCUGCUGCUGCUUCUGCUAAUAAUGUUAAUAAUAAUAAUUAAUAAUAAUAAUAAUCAUAAUUACUGCGGACGGAACUGAGCUGCCGCCACACUACACUGGCCAUCACCAACUUCCUCUUCCCGCCAGCUUUGGGGAGGUGGAAGGAGGGAGUAAGGAAGGAGGAAGGGAGGGAGGGAGGAAAGGAGGAGGUCUAGGCAAGGCAAGCCGACGCCCCAGCAUAUAUUUGGCCUCACUGAACUAGUGCCUCGCCCGCCCUUCCACGAUCCUCUCCAGGUGCCACGCGUUACCCCCUCACCCCCAACACACCAGGUGGCAUCGCAACCCUGUCACGUUCACUGUACAUACAGAAACACCCCUUUAUUCCAGGACCUCAAACUACACUUUCGUAUGAUACUGUAUUGUUCGUCUCUUUAGCUGCUGUAUAUUCUGUGGUAGGUUAGGUUUGGUGAGGUGAGAUUAAGUUAGCUUAGCUUAGGUUAGGUCAGGUAAUAGCAAGCGUUCCUUCUAAUUGUGCGUGAAAAGAUGGAUGGGUGAAGGAUGGUGAGUAUCAGAAGCUUAUCUGCUCCUCUGAUAAACACACACACACACACACACACACACACACACGCACACAGAGAGAGAGAGAGAGAGAGAGAGAGAGAGAGAGAGAGAGAGAGAUUGUUCAUUCUACUGUUUUGUGUCUUUUAUCUCUGAUCCGUGUCUUUCUCUCUUUCUUUUCCGUCCUGUCAUUGUGCUUUUGUCCUUUGUCUCUCUCUCUCUCUCUCUCUCUCUCUCUCUCUCUCUCUCUCUCUCUCUCUCUCUCUCUCUCUCUGAAUCUCCUUCAGUCCACCGCCUCCUAUAAGUCCCUCGAUUAGUCCUCCACCUUCUGCCGCCUUUGUCCGGACCGUCACCUCCUGCCUUGCCUCCUCCUCCUCCCUCUUCCUCCUCCUCCUCUUCCUUCACACAGCUUACAUUGCCUCACUCCCUUCCUUCCUCUGCUCCCCUCCACAUUUUUCUCUCACCGUGCACUCAAUGGAGAUGAAAAAUGGGAUACAUUAAUACAUAAUACAGGCACACAUAAAUCUUCAGUAUCCCCUCCCUCUUCUCUUCUCUUUUCUGGGCAUGCUCUUGUCUCUCUCUCUCUCUCUCUCUCUCUCUCUCUCUCUCUCUCUCUCUCUCUCUCUCUCUCUCUCUCUCUCUCUCUCUCUCUCUCUCUCUCUCUCUCUCUCUCUCUCUCUCUCUCUCUCUCUCUCUCUCUCUCUCUCUCUCUCUCAUUGUACUCAUCUCUAUGCAAUUAAAUUUCAUCUGAGCCACGCCUUGUCUUUCACUCUCUCCCCGUGCAUUUUGCAGCGUCGCUGCAGAGGCCUAUAAGAGAUGGACGACCGAGGGGUGGUGCCCGGUGAGGCAUGGCCACGACAGAAGGAUUUCGUCUGGGAGGGUUGCAACACACACUCCCGAAGUUCUAGUUAAGCCUACUCUGACAACGAGGCUCAAAAAGAGGCUUGGAAGAAAGGAAACUAGUGUGAGCUAGCGACACUUCGAGAGCAGGAGAGGGUACGGGGUAAAGCAACGUUUCAUGAAAACUUGCCUAGACUAAGAAAGACGGAGAGGAUGAGGCGGAGAAUAGGAUAAAGGCAGAGCAGAGAAUGGCAGCUGAAUGGGGAGGGUUCAGAAUGAGCUUUCUCAGAGGGAACUCUUCUCAAUGAUGCAUUUCGCCACACGCCGCCUGGAGUCGCAAACGGAGGCCUAGAGCAGGAGGAGGGGGAGGAGAAGGAAGAGUGAGAGACAAGCAGCUGGCGUCCUCAAAAUCUAGUGGACAGUUUCUGGGACCAGUCAAGCCUCGCCUCUAGGGUCGCAUGGCGUGUCACGGAGGAUGACUACUGGCUGCCGGUACCUGGCCAUGACCUCGCCACGCAGCCAGGGAGGGAAAGUCGCGGUGGGUGCGAUCUCAGCGUCAAUGUGAACCUCGUUUGAAUACACCGACGAACAGGUCAAGGCACAUGGUUCGAAACAAGAGGUCUAGGCACCCCGUGGGGGCUGGUCAGAGAGAGACAAGGCAAGGCUAACCAAAUGACAGGCGGUACAGUGCAACCUUUUCAACUUACCUUGGCCUUUAUUGACACACACACACACACACACACACACACACACACACACACACACACACACACACACACACACACACACACACACACACACACACACACACACACAGAGUACUAACAUGAGUAACUUACUUAGUGAAGCUUGUCAAAAACACGGCACCAAAUCACACAAGCAAUAAUGGAAACAAACGAGGUGCAGUGAGGCUGCCAGUGUGAGGCUGUGGUAAGUGUGCCCUCACUGCAUGGCUGCUCCGUCAGGGAGAAACGACUUGUCAGUUGCUCCUGGGUGAGGCCGAUGCUUGGUGACCUCUGUAGUGGCCGUGACCCGCAUCGCUCUCCGCGGCGCCCACCAGUAAGGAAUGUUCUCCUCCGUAUUUUUACAACAUGAAUAAAAACCUCUUUCGGGAGGGGCAGGUCAUCAACCCCUACAUCAACUGGUCUUUUACGUAGGGACCCACAAAGGCUCUCGCUGCAUCGGCUGGCCCUACCCCGCUCACCCCCCUUUCUCUCUCUCUCUCUCUCUCUCUCUCUCUCUCUCUCUCUCUCUCUCUCUCUCUCUCUCUCUCUCUCUCUCUCUCUCUCUCUCUCUCUCU